rnacentral:rRNA from 1 species
GAUGAACGCUGGCGGCGUGCCUAAUACAUGCCAGUCGAGCGAACAGACGAUGAGCUUGCUCUUCUGACGUUAGCAGCGGACGGGUGAGUCACACGUGGAUAACCCACCUAUACGACUGGGAUAACUUCGGGAAACCGUAGCUAAUACCGGAUAAUAUAUUUAACCGCAUGGUUCAAUAGUUAAAUACGGUUUUGCUGUCACUUCUAGAUGGAUCCGUGCCGCAUUAGCUAGUUGGUAAGGUAACGGCUUCCCAUGGCGACGAUGCGUAGCCGACCUGAGAGCGGGAUCGGCCACACUGGAAGUGGGACGCGGUCCAGAGUCCGACGGGAGGCAGAAGUAGGGAAGCGUCGGCAAUGGGCGAAAGCCUGACGGAGCAACGCCGCGUGAGUGAUGAAGGUCUUCGUAUCGUAAAACUCUGUUAUUAGGGAAGAACACAUGUGUAAGUAACGAUGCACGUCUUGACGGUACCUAAUCAGAAAGCCCCGGCUAACUACGUG